CCCUUGUACUCUCAAACUGGCAUGUAGUGACAUCAGCAGUGGCUGGCACAUGCUAGCCAAAGAGUGCUAACCACCCACUCAGUGCAGCUAUGAGCUUAAAAAUAUAUCAAUGACAAAUGGAGACAUAAAGACGAAGACAGAUCCUAAUGCUUUCGUUGCUUCGUUCAAGGACCUCAAUUACAAGAGAUUAUUGAGCUCUAAAACAUCUAAAUUCAAAGACACCCUCAAAGUAGACGCAGACAGGAAGUGACUGUAUUUGCAUCUUGAGCCAUUUAUACCUGCUUCGCUGUUCGUUUUUCUGUCAGCUUCAAGAACCUGUGCAACCAUAGCUUUACGCAGAAGCAGCACAAACGUUUGCCUCCCCAAGAAGAUCGGUCUGUUUAUUUUCUGUUUCCUAGCUGGUAUGGAAACUAAUAACACACAUCUCAGCACCAGCUUGCAUUAUGACUUGCAGAACGAAACCAAAGCUCCAACUAGUGCGCCACCUGCUGAGAGGUGUUUUAUUGAGCCUCAGCAAGCAUUCAUAAUAAUUGCUACAUUUGGGAGUCUCAUGCUUGCCCUGAUAAUAUCGGUCAUGGUGCUAGCAUAUAAGGUCAUCGUUUUAAAGCGACGGUGCCAGGCCAGACGCCCGACCCACAGUAAAGUGGAUGUGAGAGGAUCGGGUCACUGGAGCAAUGAACAAGCAGAGGGAGGCAUUGUAGGUCCAUGUGAGACCAACGUCCUGCUAGAGGAAGUUCGGACAGAAGCAGACGAUGCAGUGGAGCAGGAUGAAGAAGAGGAGGAUAUGUUGCAUCAAAGCAACACCAAAAACAUAGAUGAAGAAAAUGUCAUGACCACCAUUCAAAGCUCCACAUCCAGAGAUUCAUGCAUAGAUCCUACUAAGGAACUGGAGAACAUGCCUUUGGUAGUGUGAGCUUGCUCAUGUCUUCCCCUUAAAUAAUUAAUGUUAAC